AGUGAACGCUGGCGGUAGGCCUAACACAUGCCAGUCGAACGGCAGCACAGUAAGAGCUUGCUCUUACGGGUGGCGAGUGGCGGACGGGUGAGGAAUACAUCGGAAUCUACUUUUUCGUGGGGGAUAACGUAGGGAAACUUACGCUAAUACCGCAUACGACCUACGGGUGAAAGCAGGGGAUCUUCGGACCUUGCGCGAUUGAAUGAGCCGAUGUCGGAUUGGCUAGUUGGGGGGGUAAAGGCCCACCAAGGCGACGAUACGUAGCUGGUCUGAGAGGAUGAUCAGCCACACUGGAACUGAGACACGGUCCAGACUCCUACGGGAGGCAGCAGUGGGGAAUAUUGGACAAUGGGCGCAAGCCUGAUCCAGCCAUACCGCGUGGGUGAAGAAGGCCUUCGGGUUGUAAAGCCCUUUUGUUGGGAAAGAAAAGCAGCAGGUUAAUACCCCGCUGUUCUGACGGUACCCAAAGAAUAAGCACCGGCUAACUUCGUG
rnacentral:rRNA from 1 species